UUGCUUCUCUUGAGAGCGGCGGACGGGUGAGUAAUGCCUAGGAAUCUGCCUAGUGGUGGGGGAUAACGUUCGGAAACGGACGCUAAUACCGCAUACGUCCUACGGGAGAAAGCGGGGGAUCUUCGGACCUCGCGCCAUUAGAUGAGCCUAGGUCGGAUUAGCUAGUUGGUGAGGUAAUGGCUCACCAAGGCGACGAUCCGUAACUGGUCUGAGAGGAUGAUCAGUCACACUGGAACUGAGACACGGUCCAGACUCCUACGGGAGGCAGCAGUGGGGAAUAUUGGACAAUGGGCGAAAGCCUGAUCCAGCCAUGCCGCGUGUGUGAAGAAGGUCUUCGGAUUGUAAAGCACUUUAAGUUGGGAGGAAGGGUAGUAACUUAAUACGUUGCUACUUUGACGUUACCGACAGAAUAAGCACCGGCUAACUUCGUGCCAGCAGCCGCGGUAGUACGAAGGGUGCAAGCGUUAAUCGGAAUUACUGGGCGUAAAGCGCGCGUAGGUGGUUCAGUAAGUUGGAAGUGAAAUCCCCGGGCUCAACCUGGGAACUGCUUUCAAAACUGCUGAGCUAGAGUACGGUAGAGGGUGGUGGAAUUUCCUGUGUAGCGGUGAAAUGCGUAGAUAUAGGAAGGAACACCAGUGGCGAAGGCGACCACCUGGACUGAUACUGACACUGAGGUGCGAAAGCGUGGGGAGCAAACAGGAUUAGAUACCCUGGUAGUCCACGCCGUAAACGAUGUCAACUAGCCGUUGGAAUCCUUGAGAUUUUAGUGGCGCAGCUAACGCAUUAAGUUGACCGCCUGG
rnacentral:rRNA from 1 species